AUUUUGCUAAAUUGAAAUACACUGAUGCAUAUCUCUUAUAAAUUCAGAGGGAUCAAUCCUAUCUUGACUCACACACCGACUUGAUAAGUACUUGACUGUACCCAAAAAUCUUUCGUCACUGAAUUAGAAACUCAGUUAGUCUGGUACCAAAGUAUAGUGAAUUACUUGCAAGUCACCAUGGUGAUCUCAAGUCAGAGAGACACUUAUACUCAUAUCCUUCACG
rnacentral:lncRNA from 1 species